UACCUUCCAGAAACCUGAUAUUUUGGACCAGAUCCCUGUCUGAACAGGUUGUGUGCUGCCCUUUUCAAAAUCAAGCUAUCAGAGGAUGCCCUUCAGCAGAAGUGUUAAGAGGACUUGGCAAAGCUUGCUGGUGAGGCAGUGUGUCAGUGGGGCACUUCCAAGGAACACCACUCUGGGAGCACAGGAGGAAAGGAUUUCAGCUCUGAUGCUCUUCCAAGACAUCAACACCAACUGGCAUCCCUGGCAUUCAUCUUUUGGGUGAGACUAUGGCUGGAAUCCUCUCUCUCAAAGCAAAACACUACAGCUGGACCCUGCAGGUGCUUGGUGUAAAUGUCAUCGUGUUCCUGGCUGGAGUCUUUGCUGGGCCCAAAGGCAAAGCAUAAUAUCAAAUGACUGCUACAAUUUUCAGUCUGGGACAUCUCCUGACCCGUGUGCACAGAUGAUGAACAAUUUCUCCUUUCUGAGUUGGCUUCUUUGCCUCUUGGUGCAGAAGUUGUCCUGAAAGCAUGCCAGGAACCUCA